CCUCAUGGUAUUGUCUCUCCCUCAUGGUAUUGUCUCUCCCUCUCCAUCAUGGUAUUCUCUCUCCCUCAUGGUAUUGUCUCUCCCUCUCCCUCAUGGUAUUCUCUCUCCCUCAUGGUAUUCUCUCUCCCUCAUGGUAUUCUCUCUCCCUCAUGGUAUUCUCUCUCACUCAUGGUAUUCUCUCUCCCUCAUGGUAUUCUCUCUCCAUCGCGGUUUUAUCUCCAGCUGUGCGAGAGGAGCAGAAGGCUCUUCCCUGGCCUUUGUGUCGCCACGCGGCUCCUCCCCUCUCUCCCCCAUUGUCGGUAUCCUCCCCGUGCUCCCCAAGCAGGGGCCGCCAGCGUCCCGAUCCGGCCCUGGCCCCGGCACCUGCCCCUGGGGCCAACAGGGGCCCGAACCCCCACCCUCCACUCAUCAACAGCCUCAACUGCAGGGCAAAGCGCACCAGCCAACAGGGCCUGGUUGCCAGGGGAAACCUCUACAGCCGCCACGUCAACACCCGGGGCUUUGGUCAGUUGUUGGAGACACAGCCGAACAUCUUCAAACUGCCAGGUUUGAGACCAGUGUUGAGAGACAGAGAGACUGACAUCGGAGGACAGAGAGAGCCACUGGGACACAGAGACAGGUUGGACAGCCAAGGAGUCCUAACUCACCCCCACAUAGAAACACUAUUAGAAGACUAUACAUCUCACAGAUGUGGGACGGCAGGGUAGCCUAGUGGUUAGAGCGUUGGACAAG